GACGGAGGAUGCAAGUGUUAUCCGGAAUGAUUGGGCGUAAAGCGUCCGCAGGUGGCAGUUCAAGUCUGCUGUCAAAGACCGGGGCUUAACUUCGGAAAGGCAGUGGAAACUGAACAGCUAGAGUAUGGUAGGGGCAGAGGGAAUUCCUGGUGUAGCGGUGAAAUGCGUAGAGAUCAGGAAGAACAUCGGUGGCGAAGGCGGCUCACUGGCCCGGUACUGACGCUGAGGCGCGAAAGCGUGGGGAGCAAACAGG
rnacentral:rRNA from 1 species